rnacentral:rRNA from 4 species
GGCGACGAUCUGUAACUGGUCUGAGAGGAUGAUCAGUCACACCGGAACUGAGACACGGUCCGGACUCCUACGGGAGGCAGCAGUGGGGAAUAUUGGACAAUGGGGCAACCCUGAUCCAGCCAUGCCGCGUGUGUGAAGAAGGCCUUUUGGUUGUAAAGCACUUUAAGCAGGGAGGAGAGGCUAAUGGUUAAUACCCAUUAGAUUAGACGUUACCUGCAGAAUAAGCACCGGCUAACUCUGUGCCAGCAGCCGCGGUAAUACAGAGGGUGCGAGCGUUAAUCGGAAUUACUGGGCGUAAAGCGAGUGUAGGUGGCUCAUUAAGUCACAUGUGAAAUCCCCGGGCUUAACCUGGGAACUGCAUGUGAUACUGGUGGGCUAGAAUAUGUGAGAGGGAAGUAGAAUUCCAGGUGUAGCGGUGA